rnacentral:rRNA from 1 species
AUUGAACGCUGGCGGCAGGCCUAACACAUGCAAGUCGAACGAGUGGCGGACGGGUGAGUAAUAUCUGGGAAACUGCCCGAUGGGGGGGGGUAACCACUGGAAACGGGAGCUAAAACCGCAUACUACCGGAUGUUCCCAGAGGGGAUUAGCUAGUAGGUGGGGUAACGGCUCACCAAGGCGACGAACCCUAGCUGGUCUGAGAGGAUGACCAGCCACACUGGAACUGAGACACGGUCCAGACUCCUACGGGAGGCAGCAGUGGGGAAUAUUGCACAAUGGGCGCAAGCCUGACGCAGCCACGCCGCGUGUAUGAAGAAGGCCUUCGGGUUGUAAAGUACUUUCAGCGGGGAGGCGUUACCCGCAGAAAAAGCACCGGCUAACUCCGUGCCAGCAGCCGCGGUAAUAC